GCUAAAAAUCUAGCUCUACCUACAACCCAUGCACCCGCCCCUCCUCAACUCAUUUAAACUAAAACAUUCUAACACUUAAGUAAAGGCGAUUGAAAAAUUUACCGAAGCAAUAAACCUAGUACCGUAAGGGAAAGAUGAAAUAUAAAUGAAAAAUAUUCAAGCAAAAAAAAGUAGAGCUUAACCCUCGUACCUUUUGCAUCAUGGUUCAACUAGUCCAAUCAAGCAAAAAGCAUUACAGUUUGACCCCCCGAAACUAAGCGAGCUACUUCAGGGCAGCUUAACGAGCUAACCCGUCUCUGUGGCAAAAGAGUGGGGAGACCCUCAAGUAGUGGCGACAUACCUAACGAGCUUAGUGAUAGCUGGUUACUCAAGAAAAGGAUUUUAGUCCAACCUAAAGUCUUCUUUUUAAACUAAAAACACACCCUGACUUUAGAGCAACUCAAAUAAGGUACAGCCUAUUUGAAACAGGAUACAACCUCACCUGACGGGUAAACUUAACCCUCAAUCUCUAAGUGGGCCUAAGAGCAGCCACCUUUUUAAAAGCGUCACAGCUUAGUUUUUUAAAUUCCCCAAUCCCCUAACUUAACUUCAACCCUCUAAUAGUACUGAGUAAUCCUAUACUUCUAUAGAAAAUUUUAUGUUGGAACUAGUAACAAGAAGAAAACCUUCUCUUAAAUGCAAGUAUAAGUCAGAAAGGAUAAACCACUGACAAUUAACGCCCCUGAACAAAUAUUAGCAACCCCACAAGAAAAACCUAACCCCACCUCACGUUAACCUGACACUAGAGCAUUUCAAGAAAGAUUAAAAGAAAAAGAAGGAACUCGGCAAAUGUUAACCCCGCCUGUUUACCAAAAACAUCGCCUCUUGACUAAAAAUAAGAGGUCCAGCCUGCCCAGUGACAAAUGUUCAACGGCCGCGGUAUCCUAACCGUGCGAAGGUAGCGUAAUCACUUGUUCUUUAAAUGGGGACUAGUAUGAACGGCAUCACGAGGGUUAUGCUGUCUCCUUUUUCUAAUCAGUGAAACUAAUCUCCCCGUGAAGAAGCGGGGAUGAACCUAUAAGACGAGAAGACCCUAUGGAGCUUUAAACUUCUCUUCAAGUGCUAGACUAUCUUUCUCAGUCACAGACCCCCUCCACACUUACCCAUCAGCACUAUGAAGACGACUUUUAGGUUGGGGUGACCGCGGAGCACAAAAAAACCUCCACGCUGAACAGGCCUCAAAACCUUGAGACUAGGGCUACAACCCGCCUCACUAAAAAAUUAACACUUAUUGACCCAAUAAUAAUUGAUCAACGAACCAAGUUACCCUAGGGAUAACAGCGCAAUCCACUUCAAGAGUCCCUAUCGACAAGUGGGUUUACGACCUCGAUGUUGGAUCAGGGUAUCCCAGUGGUGCAGCCGCUACUAAAGGUUCGUUUGUUCAACGAUUAAAACCCU
rnacentral:rRNA from 1 species